CGCUCUAAGUCAGCCCAGAUUAGACGGGAGAAAUUCAAAAUCAAAAUCAAUCCAUUAACAAAAGCACACAAAGGACCAAGUCCUUGGACCGUGCGGCAUUAACUUGUGAUUUCAACUGCGCGAGUUCCCAACGCCGGCGAUGACUUUGCAUCGCAGCGUCCGCUAAUUAUCCCAUGGCAAGUGGGCCGGCAGGACGGGGGAGGGCGAGGGGGAAGGCGGUCCAGGACAAAAGGCGUCUCGGCAACAAAGCCGUUGCGCUUCAUUAAAACGGCAAGGACACGCGAAAAGUGAGUGCCUGAGCGGCGCUGCGCAUCCCUGCUCAUUAUCCCAUGCACUUAUCCGUGGCAACCGAAUUUAAAUAUCUGGCCCACAAUCGUUUCCAAUCGAGAGCAGUUUGAGAAACCCCAUGAGGGAGGGGAGGGGUUCGGGGUCGUAUCCUGACGAGCUUAUCAGUCGCGGCAUUACGCUGACUUCUGCAUUCUCCUUGGAUGUCUUUGUUGGCCGCUGCUCCUGAACUACACCCAACCCCCGGAGCGGGGCAUCAACUUAUAGCUAUUUGUAUCGUCGCUAACCAUUUAAAAUCGUUUGCGUUUAAUACCCUCAGAUUCUUUGGAUGCUUGUAUUCAAUUGGAAUAUCAAAUCUUCAAAAUAAAAAGGUUUUUGUCCAAGACACAAGUUU
ensembl:ncRNA lncRNA:CR43422 long non-coding RNA:CR43422